GGAUUUAUGGGGAACGCUGUUUCAAGUAUAUAGUAUUAAAUUUAUUUAAAAAGUGAAAAUACUUUUUUAUAGAAAAAAGACGAGAAGACCCUAAGAAUUUUUAGAAAAUUAUAAUAAUUUUUUUUCUUUUUGUUGGGGCGACAAUUAAGCAAUAAUAUUAACCUUAAUUAUUUAUUUAAUCGGUUAUUUCAGUAAAAAUUAAAUUACCUUAGGGAUAACAGCAUAAUUUUUUAAAGUUUGUGACCUCGAUGUUGGACUAGGAACUUUAUAACUAGCAGUUAAAAGAGAUUGUUCUGUUCGAACAAUAUUUUCCUACAUGAUCUGAGUUCAAACCGGA
rnacentral:rRNA from 1 species